GACGAACGCUGGCGGCGUGCUUAACACAUGCAAGUCGAGCGGAAAGGCCCUUCGGGGUACUCGAGCGGCGAACGGGUGAGAACACGUGAGUAACCUGCCCCAGACUUUGGGAUAACCCUCGGAAACGGGGGCUAAUACCGGAUACGACACAGCUUCGCAUGGGGUCUGUGUGGAAAGUUUUUCGGUUUGGGAUGGGCUCGCGGCCUAUCAGCUUGUUGGUGGGGUGAUGGCCUACCAAGGCGACGACGGGUAGCCGGCCUGAGAGGGCGACCGGCCACACUGGGACUGAGACACGGCCCAGACUCCUACGGGAGGCAGCAGUGGGGAAUAUUGCACAAUGGGCGGAAGCCUGAUGCAGCGACGCCGCGUGAGGGAUGACGGCCUUCGGGUUGUAAACCUCUUUCAGCAGGGACGAAGCGUAAGUGACGGUACCUGCAGAAGAAGCGCCGGCCAACUACGUG
rnacentral:rRNA from 1 species